rnacentral:rRNA from 1 species
CACCGGCGGCUCGAGUGGUAACCGUUAUUAUUGGGUCUAAAGGGUCUGUAGCCGGCCGGAUAAGUCUCUUGAGAAAUCCAGCAGCUCAACUGUUGGGCUUUCAGGAGAUACUGUCUGGCUCGAGGCCGGGAGAGGUGAGAGGUACUUCAGGGGUAGGGGUGAAAUCUUGUAAUCCUUGAAGGACCACCAGUGGCGAAGGCGUCUCACCAGAACGGACCUGACGGCAAGGGACGAAAGCUAGGGGCACGAACCGG